UACGUAGGGGGCGAGCGUUGUCCGAAGUUACUGGGCGUAAAGCGCGCGUAGGCGGUCAUUUAAGUUCGGGGUGAAAGGUUCAGCGCUCAACGCGAACAGUGCCUUGAAUACUGGGUGACUUGAGUUCGGGAGAGGGCAGUGGAAUUCCAGGUGUAGCGGUGAAAUGCGUAGAUAUCUGGAGGAACACCGGUGGCGAAGGCGGCAUCCUGGACCGAUACUGACGCUGAGGAGCGAAAGCCAGGGGAGCAAACGGGG
rnacentral:rRNA from 1 species